UGGGGAAUAUUGCACAAUGGGCGCAAGCCUGAUGCAGCCAUGCCGCGUGUGUGAAGAAGGCCUUCGGGUUGUAAAGCACUUUCAGCGAGGAGGAAGGUGGUGAGCUUAAUACGCUCAUCAAUUGACGUUACUCGCAGAAGAAGCACCGGCUAACUCCGUGCCAGCAGCCGCGGUAAUACGGAGGGUGCAAGCGUUAAUCGGAAUUACUGGGCGUAAAGCGCACGCAGGCGGUUUGUUAAGUCAGAUGUGAAAUCCCCGGGCUCAACCUGGGAACUGCAUUUGAAACUGGCAAGCUAGAGUCUCGUAGAGGGGGGUAGAAUUCCAGGUGUAGCGGUGAAAUGCGUAGAGAUCUGGAGGAAUACCGGUGGCGAAGGCGGCCCCCCUGGACGAAGACUGACGCUCAGGUGCGAAAGCGUGGGGCAGCAAACAGGAUUAGAUACCCUGGUAGUCCACGCUGUAAACGAUGUCGAUUUUGGAGGUUGUGCCCCUUGAGGCGUGGCUUCCGGAGCUAACGCGUUAAAUCGACCG
rnacentral:rRNA from 1 species